AACGCACGAGACCUGCGGACCUGCGGAAGGAUCAUUAAAAAGAGUGUGUACCCCUCUGUAAAAUGAGUGGGUUACCUCCCGUCCUUUGUUGACCUCUUAGGAGGUUAUUUUGAACUUUCUGCUUCGGUGGGGUUAAACCUACCGGAACACCCUCAAAUUCUUAUCAUUUAAAAAUUGUUCAGUCCGAUUUUUUGUUAAUAAAAACAAAAAACUUUCAACAAUGGAUCUCUAGAUCGGAAG
rnacentral:misc_RNA from 1 species